AGCGAACGCUGGCGGCAGGCCUAACACAUGCAAGUCGAGCGGAGCGAGGGUGCUUGCACCUUAGCUUAGCGGCAGACGGGUGAGUAAUGCUUAGGAAUCUGCCUAUUAGUGGGGGACAACAUUCCGAAAGGAAUGCUAAUACCGCAUACGCCCUACGGGGGAAAGCAGGGGAUCUUCGGACCUUGCGCUAAUAGAUGAGCCUAAGUCGGAUUAGCUAGUUGGUGGGGUAAAGGCCUACCAAGGCGACGAUCUGUAGCGGGUCUGAGAGGAUGAUCCGCCACACUGGGACUGAGACACGGCCCAGACUCCUACGGGAGGCAGCAGUGGGGAAUAUUGGACAAUGGGCGGAAGCCUGAUCCAGCCAUGCCGCGUGUGUGAAGAAGGCCUUUUGGUUGUAAAGCACUUUAAGCGAGGAGGAGGCUACUUAGAUUAAUACUCUGGGAUAGUGGACGUUACUCGCAGAAUAAGCACCGGCUAACUCUGUGCCAGCAGCCGCCGUAAAAC
rnacentral:rRNA from 1 species